rnacentral:rRNA from 1 species
UACGUAGGCAGCGAGCGUUGUUCGGAAUUACUGGGCGUAAAGAGUGUGUAGGUGGUGCUCUAAGUUUGGUGUGAAAUCUCCCGGGCUCAACCGGGAGGGUGCAUCGAAAAACUGGAGUGCUAGAGGAUGGGAGAGGCAAGCGGAAUUCCUGGUGUAGCGGUGAAAUGCGCAGAUAUCAGGAGGAACACCAAUGGCGAAGGCAGCUCACUGGGACGGUAUUGACGCUGGAGACGCGAAAGCGUGGGGAGCAAACAGG